rnacentral:lncRNA from 1 species
UGCUGGAAAAACAUAUCCUAUUUGCAAAAACAUCUACUCAAAUAUCAUAGAGAAAGAGGAAAACUUAUGAUAUAUAUAUUCAAUUGAUUAUUCUCUAACCAUCAGAUUCAAAUGAUGUAAAUAUGCUGUGGAUUCAUUAAUAUUUGUUGGAUAUCAAUCUUUGUGGAUUUCGUGGGUACAGGCAAACCACAAAUGUAAAUACUUAACAAAUUACAAAUUUGCUAAAAGAAUGCAUGCAGUCUUUGCCAAAAUCCCUUAAUCAAAUAUUCAUAAAAUGCAAGUUUUUCCCAAAACCACUAAAAAUUGGUAUCCACGAAAAUAAAUAAAUCCACAGUAUCACAUUUUGUUCAAUCUGGGAAUGGUAAGGACUCUAAUAAAGUGGUCAAACUGGUGUAAACAUAUGACAAAUAUUCUGUAUGAAAUAUGGUCCCUUCCUUUCCCUGGUCAUUUCAAAAGUCUUAGCAAUUAAAAUGAUUCUAACAACAUUUAACAUAUAAUUUGGAAAUAUAGUAUGAAAAAGCUUGAAAAAAUUCAUUCAUGAAGUUGUGAUCAAUAGCACCAAAAGUUAACAUGAAAUAUGUACAAAAUAUUAAUGUUUCAAUUUUUAUCAUCAUUCUUAUUUUUGUGACCUAAUACAUUUUACAAUAUCUUUCAAGACUUUCAAAAAGCAUCCAACAUUUUUUUGAAAAAUGAUGAAAUUUCUAGUUUAAUUGCCACACAUUUGUUAAAGUCUGGUCAACUUUGACCAAAACCCUGUUCAAUCUGUAUCUUACCACAAACAAAUUUCAACUUCAUUUUAAAAACUGAAAUAUGAAAGGCAACAAGUCUGAAACUAGUUUAAAUAAACAUAUCUCAAAUUUGACUAAAUCAUCUAUGACAAAAUAUUCAAUUCCAUUCUCUUCACACCAAAAUAAAAGGGAUAGACACCGGAACACAAAAGUCAAUAAAACGGUGAGGUCUGAUUAACUGAGAUCAACUCUGAGUGAUGAUAAAAUGAGACUACUUUGAACCAAUUCUAAACGAGUGAGAGACAAAAAUGCCUUUUAAAUCCUAGUUAUCUGAAGAAGUUAGGUCUAUGUAGAAUGAAAGACAAAGACGACUUUUAGAUCCUAGUUAUUUGAAGAAGUUAGGUCUAUGUAGAAUGAAAGACAAAAAUGCCUUUUAUCCAUAAAGGCAACAGCAGUAUACCGCUGUUCAAAAGUCAUCAAUCAUUUAAAAGAAAACAAAACUGGAGUGCAGACUAAAAAUUAGUAAAUAAACUCAUCAUAGAUACCAGGACUAAAUUUAAACACAUCAACUAUGAGAGAAAACAAUCCUUGUUAUUGAAAGAAGCUGUAUCUUUGUCCCAAAAAAUAAAAACACUAAAUUGGAGAAGUAUAACAUGAACCUGAAACAGCUGUUUCAUGUCUCAAAAAAGUGUUUUUCAGAAUUAAGAUAUUGAUGUUUAGAAAAUAAAGCAAUUGUCAAAAUUGUCUUUUAAAAUAAGCUGCACUCACAAAGCUUAACUUGAAACCAAAUAUCAAACCAAUUAAAACCUUUCACAUAAUC